rnacentral:sRNA from 21 species
UGAGGUUACGGAUCCUUCGGGAGUCCGUGUACCGAGGCUAAGUGAAUUAACGUUUAAGCGCGCUGUAAGCACGCCACCCCUCGGGGAGAAGCCGCCUAUAUAGAAAUUGGCGGCUUCUUUUUUGCUU